UGUCAUACAAAUUUGAGAAUUCCCAAAUUUGUCUGAUCUCGGAAGCUAAGCAGGAUUAGGCCUGGUUAUACUGAGUGGGAGACUGCUGGGAAUGUCAAGUGACAU
rnacentral:rRNA from 1 species